UACGUAGGGUGCAAGCGUUGUCCGGAAUUAUUGGGCGUAAAGAGCUCGUAGGCGGUCUGUCGCGUCUGCUGUGAAAACUCGGGGCUUAACCCCGGGCCUGCAGUGGGUACGGGGCAGACUAGAGUGCGGUAGGGGAGACUGGAAUUCCUGGUGUAGCGGUGAAAUGCGCAGAUAUCAGGAGGAACACCGGUGGCGAAGGCAGCUCGCUGGGACGGUACUGACGCUGAGGCGCGAAAGCGUGGGGAGCAAACAGG
rnacentral:rRNA from 1 species